GAAGGUAACACGGUCCCCAUACAGGAAACUGGAGUCCCUGAUCCACUUCAUCACCUACGCCAUUUCCCCCGAGACGUGCUUGAAGAUUGGAUUCUCAUAUCUGCAGGUUACACGGUCCCCGUGCAGGAAACUGGAGUCCCUGGUCCACGUCAUCACCUACGCCAUAUUCCCCAAGAGGAGGAUAGGCUUCUCCUACCUGCAGGACGUGAUGAGUUUAUACGGCUGAGCAGGACUGUGGUCCCUUCUUCAUAAAUAUGGACAACCGGUUAUCAAGUACAGUACACUUAUAUUGGAAUUGCAGUGUCAAUACAUCAACUUAAUAGGAAUAAGUGUGAUGCAUUUAACUGUAACAUUCAAAUGAGCUUAUCGAUCAUGACGUCAUUAUUCCUGCCAUGGAGACGACAACGUUAAAGUAUAGCUUUUCCACGGGAACAUAUCACGUAGAAUUGUGUUUGGCUGCAACAUUCAAUUGUAUGGAUUCUUCAUAUCAUAGCAAUACAGUCCAAUACCUUAUAACAUGUCAAGGCGGAAAAAAAGAGAAAUCAAAACCAUUCCUCCAAUUCGCAUUCAGUACGAGAACAAUGAUUUUAAGAAUCUAAAUAAAAUGUUCUUGGAAAUAAAGUAAAUACAUCCUGGUUUUCUACCGUCCUUAGACAUUUGGAUCAACGCGC